rnacentral:rRNA from 1 species
UACGAGUGCUCCAAGCGUUAUCCGGAAUUACUGGGCGUAAAGGGUGUGUAGGUGGUUAUAUUAGUCUCUUGUCAAAUCUCCCGGCUUAACUGGGAACAGGCAGGGGAAACGGUAUAACUAGAAGAUAAGAGAGGUAUGUAGAACUCAUGGUGUAGGGGUGAAAUCCGUUGAUAUCAUGGGGAAUACCAAAAGCGAAGGCAGCAUACUGGCUUACUCUUGACACUGAGACACGAAAGCGUGGGUAGCGAAUGGG